CCUACGGGUGGCUGCAGUGAGGAAUAUUGGUCAAUGGGCGGAAGCCUGAACCAGCCAAGUAGCGUGCGGGAUGAAGGCCCUACGGGUUGUAAACUUCUUUUAUAAAGGAAUAAAGUGAGGCACGUGUGCCUUUUUGUAUGUACUUUAUGAAUAAGGAUCGGCUAACUCCGUGCCAGCAGCCGCGGUAAUACGGAGGAUCCGAGCGUUAUCCGGAUUUCUUGGGUUUAAAGGGAGCGUAGAUGGGUUGUUAAGUCAGUUGUGAAAGUUUGCGGCUCAACCGUAAAAUUGCAAUUGAUACUGGCAGCCUUGAGUACAGUUGAGGUAGGCGGAAUUCGUGGUGUAGCGGUGAAAUGCUUAGAUAUCACGAAGAACUCCGAUUGCGAAGGCAGCUUACUAAACUGCCACUGACAUUGAUGCUCGAAAGUGUGGGUAUCAAACAGGAUUAGAUACCCGAGUAGUC
rnacentral:rRNA from 1 species